rnacentral:rRNA from 1 species
UACGAAGGGGGCUAGCGUUGCUCGGAAUCACUGGGCGUAAAGGGUGCGUAGGCGGGUUUUUAAGUCAGGGGUGAAAUCCUGGAGCUCAACUCCAGAACUGCCUUUGAUACUGGCGAUCUUGAGUCCGGGAGAGGUGAGUGGAACUGCGAGUGUAGAGGUGAAAUUCGUAGAUAUUCGCAAGAACACCAGUGGCGAAGGCGGCUCACUGGUCCGGUUCUGACGCUGAGGCGCGAAAGCGUGGGGAGCAAACAGG